rnacentral:ncRNA from 1 species
AAGGCUUCCAUGAGAACAGCAGUUGAACCUGGGUCAGUCGGUCCCGAGAGAUGGGCGAGCACCAUUCCCAGGGGACCGGCAAUGGCCUCCGUUGCCCUCAGCCGAUCCGAAGGGAGUCGGGUUCAGAUCCCCGAAUCCAGAGUGGCGGAGACGGGCACCGCGAGGCGUCCAGUGGGGUAACGCGACCGACCCGGGAGAAGCCGGCCGAGGCCCCAGGGAGACUUCAUCUUUUUUUUUUUUUUUUUUUUUGGUGGUGAAGGGCAGGGCGCCAAGGAAUGGGUUUGCCCCGAGAGAGGGCCCGGUGCCUUGGAAAGCAUUGAGGUUCCAGCGACGUCCGGUGAGCGCCCGCUGGCCCUUGGACAAAAAAACCCAGGGAGAGUGUGUGAAUCUCGCGCCAGACCAUACCCAUAUCCUCCGGGGGU